AUGUAGGCGCUGACCCUGGUGAAGACAGAGGGCUUCUUGGGGUAGUUGCAGCCCAUGCUGGAGCCGAAGCUCACCACACCGUGGACGUCCCAGGAGCCAUCAGGGUUCUGACAGUUCAGGGGACCACCAGAGUCUCCCUGAGGGGGAACAAAGACAAAUAAUAGACUCACAUUGCAGCUAGCCAGCUGUCCGUCUCCUCCAGCACAGACCAUGUUGCUGGUGACCAGGCUGCCCCACCAGUCAGACCGGGUGCAGGUGGAGUGGUCGACCACAGGGAGGAGGGCCUGCUGCAGGAUGUCGGCAAGAGGACCUCCGGCUUUAGGAGAGAACAGGGCAUUCAGAUUCAGGUCAGCAGUCAAGACCACACCUGAUGCAGUGAGCAGCAGUGAGGACCCACUGGUUGGAGAUCAGGGUGCCACCACAAGUAUGGUAGAAGCUGCUGCCACUCUGGUACUGCAGAGACACCUGAAAACAAGCGACAGCAUGCAUACGUUUUUCUUAUAACUUUAGGAACUGGACAGUAGACACAGAAUUUAAAGGACAAGUCUUAAAGGGGCCAUACCUGCCAGGGCCAGCUGUUCUCACGGACAUCAUCUCCACCAACCACCCUGGUGAUGACGGGAGGGUAAGUGGGCAGGCCGCACC